CACCUCCGACUUCACUUCCUCCUCGGGCCCCUUCCUCCUCGGGCGGCGGGCCCCUCCUACUGAGCCCCACACCCCGCGCACCAAAGGGGGGGUCCAAUCAAUGCAGAUAGCAACUCCCGCAACAGGUUUGUAAGGUGCCCCAGGGACAUGGGCAGGCUGAGAGUGACCAAACAGCUGAAGGGUGGAUUGAGGCCAGUGGUGCCCAGGAGGGACCUACCAUCUACUGAACAAAUGAAUUCAGAAGAGAUGGAAAGAAAAGAAGUGUGGGAGAUCCCUAGAAGGAUUUCUUUUGAGUUUCCUGUUCCUGAUCUAGUUCUUCCAGAAAUCAAUCGGCCCACUCUGCUGUGUUUCCUGCAUGCUACAUCAUAAAGACUUAUCUCCUGCUUUGUUUUCCACUGGACAAGACUUGAAUUCCUCUGUUAUCAGAUGACCAUUUUGCAGCAUGGGUUUAAUGCUUAACUAAGCCUAACCCACACACAUUUUGAGUUCCAUUAGCUUGACAUAUCUAUUCUGUGAUGUGAUUGGAAAGUUCAAAUUUAUGCUUCAAAGACUGUUUGUAAAAAUGGUUCUGAAUAUAUUUUCAUUAACUUUGUGAGAAGCCCUUAAAGUAUUUUGUAAAAUGAUAUACUGUAAUGUACCUAGAAAGCAAAAGCAUGAGAAAAAUAGGUAAUCGGCUGAAUUAUGUUGGCUAAUAAAAUACUAGACAGCAUCCCACAUGCAGACCAACACACUGCAAAUUUAAAUGUAAUUACAGAGACUUUCCAAAGCCAUUAAAGUCAAAGGAAGGAUCCCCUUCAAAGUUUAACCUUGGUAAACUUUGUAUCACACCCAAAAUGCCUGUUUUUUAUGCUAACCACCCACCCAGCUUCAUCCUGGAUCCACAGUUGGUAUAAAUGAAUUCAUCUCUACUGGAACUCAAUUGAUUUGUAGCAGACAUGGACCCUAACCCUUUAUAUUUGUAAUGACAUAGGAAAAAGCCUUAUUUCAAAGCAUAUUUGUUUCCUCCUAACAAUUAUAAUGUGUCAUGUUCAUUGUUCAUUUUCACUGGAAAUGAUUAUUUCUUUUCUCCCAAAGAUUAAUGAUGGUCAAAGUUUCUGUAUCUGAAGAUGAUGCACUAAAGCUGGUAUUUCAAGAGACA